rnacentral:rRNA from 1 species
GGGGAUAACGUUUGGAAACGAACGCUAAUACCGCAUGAUAUUAUUGAGCUGCAUGGCUUGAUAAUCAAAGGAGCAAUCCGCUGAAAGAUGGGCUCGCGUCCGAUUAGGUAGUUGGCGGGGCAACGGCCCACCAAGCCGACGAUCGGUAGCCGGACUGAGAGGUUGAACGGCCACAUUGGGACUGAGACACGGCCCAGACUCCUACGGGAGGCAGCAGUGAGGGAUAUUGGUCAAUGGGGGAAACCCUGAACCAGCAACGCCGCGUGAGGGAAGACGGUUUUCGGAUUGUAAACCUCUGUCCUCUGUGAAAAUGAUGACGGUAGCAGAGGAGGAAGCUCCGGCUAACUACGUGCCAGCAGCCGCGGUAAUACGUAGGGAGCAAGCGUUGUCCGGAUUUACUGGGUGUAAAGGGUGCGUAGGCGGCUUUGCAAGUCAGAAGUGAAAUCCAUGGGCUUAACCCAUGAACUGCUUUUGAAACUGCAGAGCUUGAGUGGAGUAGAGGUAGGCGGAAUUCCCGGUGUAGCGGUGAAAUGCGUAGAGAUCGGGAGGAACACCAGUGGCGAAGGCGGCCUGCUGGGCUCUAACUGACGCUGAGGCACGAAAGCGUGGGUAGCAAACAGGAUUAGAUACCCUGGUAGUCCACGCUGUAAACGAUGAUUACUAGGUGUGGGUGGACUGACCCCAUCCGUGCCGGAG